GCGAAAAGCCUGACGCAGCAACGCCGCGUGGGUGAUGGAGGCCUUCGGGUUGUAAAGCCCCUGUCGGGUGGAACGAACAGGUCCUGAGGAGGGACUCUGACGGUACCAUCGGAGGAAGCACCGGCUAACUUCGUGCCAGCAGCCGCGGUAAUACGAAGGGUGCAAGCGUUGCUCGGAAUUAUUGGGCGUAAAGCGUACGCAGGCGGUCUACCAAGUCGGGCGUGAAAGUCCGGGGCUCAACUCCGGGAAGUCGCACGAAACUAGCAGACUUGAGUUCGGGAGAGGGGUGUGGAAUUCCCAGUGUAGAAGUGAAAUUCGUAGAUAUUGGGAGGAACACCGGUGGCGAAGGCGACACCCUGGCCCGAAACUGACGCUCAUGUACGAAAGCGUGGGUAGCAAAACAGGAUUAGAUACCCUGUAGUCCACGCCGUAAACGAUGGGUGCCAGAUGUUGCGGGUAUUAUUCCUGCAGCGUCGUAGCUAACGCAUUAAGCACCCGCCUGGGGAGUACGGCCGCAAGGU
rnacentral:rRNA from 1 species